AUAAGAACAAUAUGGAAAUCUUAGUAAAAUUCAAAUUCUGAUUCAAUAGGUCUGAAGGCCAAUACUAGAAUUUUGUAUUUCUAAUAACUUCUCAGAUGAUGAUGAU
rnacentral:pre_miRNA from 1 species